rnacentral:rRNA from 1 species
AAGAGUUUGAUCAUGGCUCAGAUUGAACGCUGGCGGCAGGCCUAACACAUGCAAGUCGAACGGUAACAGGAAGCAGCUUGCUGCUUCGCUGACGAGUGGCGGACGGGUGAGUAAUGUCUGGGAAACUGCCUGAUGGAGGGGGAUAACUACUGGAAACGGUAGCUAAUACCGCAUAACGUCGCAAGACCAAAGAGGGGGACCUUCGGGCCUC